AUUGAACGCUGGCGGCAGGCCUAACACAUGCAAGUCGAACGGUAACAGGAAGAAGCUUGCUUCUUUGCUGACGAGUGGCGGACGGGUGAGUAAUGUCUGGGAAACUGCCUGAUGGAGGGGGAUAACUACUGGAAACGGUAGCUAAUACCGCAUAACGUCGCAAGACCAAAAAGGGGGACCUUCGGGCCUCUUGCCAUCGGAUGUGCCCAGAUGGGAUUAGCUAGUAGGUGGGGUAACGGCUCACCUAGGCGACGAUCCCUAGCUGGUCUGAGAGGAUGACCAGCCACACUGGAACUGAGACACGGUCCAGACUCCUACGGGAGGCAGCAGUGGGGAAUAUUGCACAAUGGGUGCAAGCCUGAUGCAGCCAUGCCGCGUGUAUGAAGAAGGCCUUCGGGUUGUAAAGUACUUUCAGCGGGGAGGAAGGGAGUAAAGUUAAUACCUUUGCUCAUUGACGUUACCCGCAGAAGAAGCACCGGCUAACUCCGUG
rnacentral:rRNA from 1 species